rnacentral:rRNA from 1 species
AGAGCGAACGCUGGCGGCGUGCUUAACACAUGCAAGUCGAGUGCGCGCCUGUAGCAAUACAGGUGGCGCACGGCGCACGGGUGCGUAACACGUGGGUAAUCUGCCCUUCGAUGGGGAAUAACUCCGGGAAACCGAAGCUAAUUCCGCAUAACAUUCCUUGGACCUCGGUCUGGGGAUUCAAAGCCGUAAGGCGUCGGAGGAGGAACCCGCGCGACGAUUAGUUAGUUGGCAGGGUAACGGCCUACCAAGACUUGAUCGUUA